rnacentral:rRNA from 1 species
AUGAACGCUAGCUACAGGCUUAACACAUGCAAGUCGAGGGGCAGCAUGGUCUUAGCUUGCUAAGGCCGAUGGCGACCGGCGCACGGGUGAGUAACGCGUAUCCAACCUGCCUUACACUCUUGGACAGCCUUCUGAAAGGGAGAUUAAUACAAGAUGUUAUCAUGAGUAAGCAUUUUCGCAUGAUUAAAGGUUUACCGGUGUAAGAUGGGGAUGCGUUCCAUUAGAUAGUAGGCGGGGUAACGGCCCACCUAGUCUUCGAUGGAUAGGGGUUCUGAGAGGAAGGUCCCCCACAUUGGAACUGAGACACGGUCCAAACUCCUACGGGAGGCAGCAGUGAGGAAUAUUGGUCAAUGGACGAGAGUCUGAACCAGCCAAGUAGCGUGAAGGAUGAAGGUUCUAUGGAUUGUAAACUUCUUUUAUACGGGAAUAAACGAAUCCACGUGUGGAUUUUUGCAUGUACCGUAUGAAUAAGGAUCGGCUAACUCCGUGCCAGCAGCCGCGGUAAUACGGAGGAUCCGAGCGUUAUCCGGAUUUAUUGGGUUUAAAGGGAGCGUAGAUGGGUUGUUAAGUCAGUUGUGAAAGUUUGCGGCUCAACCGUAAAAUUGCAAUUGAUACUGGCAGUCUUGAGUACAGUUGAGGUAGGCGGAAUUCGUGGUGUAGCGGUGAAAUGCUUAGAUAUCACGAAGAACUCCGAUUGCGAAGGCAGCUUACUAACCUGUAACUGACAUUGAUGCUCGAAAGUGUGGGUAUCAAACAGGAUUAGAUACCCUGGUAGUCCACACGGUAAACGAUGAAUACUCGCUGUAGGCGAUAUACAGUCUGCGGCCAAGCGAAAGCAUUAAGUAUUCCACCUGGGGAGUACGCCGGCAACGGUGAAACUCAAAGGAAUUGACGGGGGCCCGCACAAGCGGAGGAACAUGUGGUUUAAUUCGAUGAUACGCGAGGAACCUUACCCGGGCUCAAACGUCGGGCGAAUCAUCCUGAAAGGGGUGAGCCAGCAAUGGCGGCCGACGAGGUGCUGCAUGGUUGUCGUCAGCUCGUGCCGUGAGGUGUCGGCUUAAGUGCCAUAACGAGCGCAACCCUUGCCGAUAGUUACUAACAGGUUAUGCUGAGGACUCUGUCGGGACUGCCAUCGUAAGAUGUGAGGAAGGUGGGGAUGACGUCAAAUCAGCACGGCCCUUACGUCCGGGGCUACACACGUGUUACAAUGGGGGGUACAGAGGGCUGCUACCACGCAAGUGGAUGCCAAUCCCAAAAACCUCUCUCAGUUCGGAUUGAAGUCUGCAACCCGACUUCAUGAAGCUGGAUUCGCUAGUAAUCGCGCAUCAGCCACGGCGCGGUGAAUACGUUCCCGGGCCUUGUACACACCGCCCGUCAAGCCAUGGGAGCCGGGGGUACCUGAAGUGCGUAACCGCAAGGAGCGCCCUAGGGUAAAACUGGUGACUGGGGCU